ACGCCCUAAGAGGUUGUGCUGCUGGGGUAGCUGGAAGCUGCUGGUGGGCGGGCGUAUGGCGGCCAGGCCUGGAACGCCACGAGGCCCGCUGGCGCCGUGGGGUCACUCUUCCUGAGGCCACAAGUCACCAAGGCUGGAAGGGAAGGUCGGGGGCUGUCAGGGCCCAACCCUAGGUGUCGCUGGUGGCGGUGGGCAAACCCACCGGAGCAAGGGGACCGCCGCUGAGGCCAGGCGAGGAGGAAGAAAAUGUCUAGGGCCUGGAGGUAGAGAGCCAGGGCCCCGAGGAGAGAGAGGGCUCACUGCCCCGAUGCAGAGGAGCAGCCCCAGACGGAUAAGGAGUUGAGGCCCCAGGGAUGCUGCGCCCUGCCGAGCUAGAAGGUCAGGAGACGCUGGGGUCUGGAGCCCCAAAGGGACGGUUUGCCUACUACGCUUGGGCUCUGUCCCCAAGCACUGUCCAUCAAGGAAUGGGUACAAGGUCUCUUUGUUUGACCCCCUCAUGGGCAUGUGGGACCCCUUUGUUCAACACUCUUUGGGAUCUUGGUCCUUUGCCUGGAGAGCACAACUAUGAGGGGAUAACGGCUGGGUAGACACCGGUCCUCCGUCCUAAAGGGGAUUGGCUGCCAGAGUCUGAAAAUCCCAUCACUUUUGUGAAGGGGUUCAAAGCUGAAACCGUCACAGAACAGAGUGGGACCCGAGACACCUCAGAAGCACGGCCAGAUGUUUGAGGAGCUGGCUGACAUGAAAGGCAGCUGGUGUGCCUGGUCACAGGGACCUGAGGAACUCGCUGUGGUCACCUUUCUGUUCAGAUACAUUCGCCAACACCAUGGUUUCUGCUCAGUUUCCCCUCAAUAGCUUCCCUCUGCGUAAGGAGCAGUGAUAACACAGGUAAAUUAAGUAAAAUCCAUUCAGAUUAUUAAAGCAAAGGAAAAGACCUCAUUCUUACCCACACUGAAGUUUCAGCUUCCUCAUGAAAUCUUCUAUCCCAGCUGCUAAAAGUGAGGGCUAAAGAGUAAAGGGCUGUAAGCAGUUUCCGGGGGAGGGGGGCAGCCUCCGGCGCAUUAAAGAAACAUCCUCUUAAAACAGUUCCAAAUUUUAAAAUUCCCAGUUUUUGAAUUCUGAUAAACAUAAAAAUUUUGUUUGCCAAACUUGAGAAGUAAACCUGUGCCAGCUGGUUGACAGCAC